AUUGAACGCUGGCGGCAUGCUUUACACAUGCAAGUCGAACGGCAGCAUGGGUGCUUGCACCUGAUGGCGAGUGGCGAACGGGUGAGUAAUAUAUCGGAACGUACCCGGAAAAGGGGGAUAACGUAGCGAAAGUUACGCUAAUACCGCAUAUGCCCUGAGGGGGAAAGUGGGGGAUCCGCAAGGACCUCACGUUUUCGGAGCGGCCGAUAUCAGAUUAGCUAGUUGGUGAGGUAAAGGCUCACCAAGGCGACGAUCUGUAGCUGGUCUGAGAGGACAACCAGCCACACUGGGACUGAGCAACGGCCCAGACUCCUACGGGAGGCAGCAGUUGGGAAUUUUGGACAAUGGGGGCAACCCUGAUCCAGCCAUGCCGCGUGAGUGAAGAAGGCCUUCGGGUUGUAAAGCUCUUUCGGACAGAAAGAAAUCGCACAGGAUAAUACCUUGUGUGGAUGACGGUACUGUAAGAAGAAGCACCGGCUAACUACGUGCCAGCCGCCGCCGUAA
rnacentral:rRNA from 1 species